rnacentral:rRNA from 2 species
UGCAAGUCGAACGAGAAGCUAACUUCUGAUUCCUUCGGGAUGAUGAGGUUGGCAGAAAGUGGCGAACGGGUGAGUAACGCGUGGGUAAUCUACCCUGUUAAGUGGGGGAUAACCCUCCGAAAGGAGGGCUAAUACCGCAUAAUAUCUUCUCCUCUGAAAGAGGUAAAGAUUAAAGAUGGCCUCCAUAUUAUGCUAUCGCUUCAGGAUGAGCCCGCGUCCUAUUAGUUAGUUGGUGGGGUAAUGGCCUACCAAGGCGACAAUGGGUAGCCGGUCUGAGAGGAUGUACGGCCACACUGGGACUGAGAUACGGCCCAGACUCCUACGGGAGGCAGCAGUGGGGAAUAUUGCGCAAUGGGGGAAACCCUGACGCAGCGACGCCGCGUGGAUGAUGAAGGCCCUUGGGUUGUAAAAUCCUGUUCUGGGGGAAGAAAGCUUAAAGGUCCAAUAAACCCUUAAGCCUGACGGUACCCCAAGAGAAAGCUCCGGCUAAUUAUGUGCCAGCAGCCGCGGUAAUACAUAAGGAGCAAGCGUUAUCCGGAAUUAUUGGGCGUAAAGAGCUCGUAGGCGGUCUUAAAAGUCAGUUGUGAAAUUAUCAGGCUCAACCUGAUAAGGUCACCUGAAACUCUAAGAC